AGGGCUUGGGCAGAGAAACAGAGGGA
rnacentral:piRNA from 1 species